UGCCACAUGGGUGUGUGGGACCCCAGGCAUCCCUGAUUUGAAGCACCUGCAUCCCUGGCAGCACACCAUCCUUCUAAAAAGGGGGAUCGAAGUAACCCCUGAUGCGCUUUCCCUAGAGUUGUGCCUAUGUAUAGCACAACCACACAAGGGGAGCCUCCUCAUUUGAGACCUUUUUAAUCUGCACGUACGCCAUUACCCAAUGG